rnacentral:ncRNA from 1 species
GGGAGACUGUGAAACCUCGACGCCAGUUGGGGCGGAGUCGUUGUUGAAAUACCACUCUGAUCGUAUUGGGCAUCUAACCUCGAACCCUGAAUCGGGUUUAGGGACAGUGCCUGGCGGGUAGUUUAACUGGGGCGGUUGCCUCCUAAAAUGUAACGGAGGCGCCCAAAGGUUCCCUCAACCUGGACGGCAAUCAGGUGGCGAGUGUAAAUGCACAAGGGAG